rnacentral:rRNA from 1 species
GACUCUCGGCAACGGAUAUCUUGGCCCUUGCAUCGAUGAAGAACGUAGCGAAAUGCGAUACUUGGUGUGAAUUGCAGAAUCCCGUGAACCAUCGAGUCUUUGAACGCAAGUUGCGCCCGGGGCCUUCUGGCUGAGGGCUUGCCUGCUUGGG